GGCCCCGUAGCUCAGUAUGGACAGAGCGGCGGCCUGCGAAGCCGUAGGUCGUGGGUUCAAAUCCCACCGGGGCCG
rnacentral:tRNA from 1 species